rfam:Rattus norvegicus chromosome 16, whole genome shotgun sequence.
GGGGAUUUAGCUCAGUGGUAGAGCGCUUGCCUAGCAAGCUCAAGGCCCUGGGUUCAGUCCCCA